rnacentral:rRNA from 1 species
UACGUAGGGGCAAGCGUUGUCCGGAUUUAUUGGGCGUAAAGAGCGUGUAGGCGGCUAUUUAAGUCCUGCGUGAAAUCCUGCGGCUCAACCGCAGACGGUCGUGGGAAACUGGAUGGCUAGAGUGCGGGAGAGGAGAGUGGAAUUCCCGGUGUAGCGGUGAAAUGCGCAGAGUAUCGGGAAGAACACCCGUGGCGAAGGCGGCUCUCUGGAACGCAACUGACGCUGAGACGCGAAAGCGUGGGGAG